rnacentral:rRNA from 1 species
UACGAAGGGGGCUAGCGUUGUUCGGAUUUACUGGGCGUAAAGCGCACGUAGGCGGAUUGUUAAGUCAGGGGUGAAAUCCUGGAGCUCAACUCCAGAACUGCCUUUGAUACUGGCAAUCUAGAGUCCGGAAGAGGUGAGUGGAACUCCUAGUGUAGAGGUGGAAUUCGUAGAUAUUCGGAAGAACACCAGUGGCGAAGGCGACACACUGGCCCGUUACUGACGCUGAGGCGCGAAAGCGUGGGGAGCAAACAGG